rnacentral:rRNA from 1 species
GACGAAGGUGGCUAGCGUUGUUCGGAAUCACUGGGCUUAAAGGGCACGUAGGCGGUCUGUCAAGCGUCUUGUGAAAUCCCCCGGCUCAACCGGGGAAUGGCUGGGCGAACUGGCAGACUUGAGGCAAUCAGGGGCGUGUGGAACUCUUGGUGGAGCGGUGAAAUGCGUAGAUAUCAAGAGGAACGCCGGAGGCGAAAGCGACACGCUGGGAUUGCUCUGACGCUGAGGUGCGAAAGCCAGGGGAGCAAACGGG